UAACCUGCGGAGGGAUCAUUACUGAGUUACCGCUCUAUAACCCUUUGUGAACAUACCUAACCGUUGCUUCGGCGGGCAGGGGAAGCCUCUCGCGGGCCUCCCCUCCCGGCGCCGGCCCCACCACGGGGACGGGGCGCCCGCCGGAGGAAACCAAACUCUAUUUACACGACGUCUCUUCUGAGUGGCACAAGCAAAUAAUUAAAACUUUUAACAACGGAUCUCUUGGUUCUGGCAUCGAUGAAGAACGCAGCGAAAUGCGAUAAGUAAUGUGAAUUGCAGAAUUCAGUGAAUCAUCGAAUCUUUGAACGCACAUUGCGCUCGCCAGCAUUCUGGCGAGCAUGCCUGUUCGAGCGUCAUUUCAACCCUCAAGCACCGCUUGGUUUUGGGGCCCCACGGCACACGUGGGCCCUUAAAGGUAGUGGCGGACCCUCCCGGAGCCUCCUUUGCGUAGUAACUAACGUCUCGCACUGGGAUUCGGAGGGACUCUUGCCGUAAAACCCCCCAAUUUUUUACAGGUUGACCUCGGAUCAGGUAGGAAU
rnacentral:rRNA from 1 species